AUAUAUAUAUAUAUAUAUAUAUAUAUAUAUAUAUAUAUAUAUCACCAUCCGCGUUCACUCUAUAUACAUAAGCCCUAAUCUAUUUUACGGACACACGAUAGUUCAAUCAAUUACAGAAAAUAAAAAAUCAGAGUUAGAAAUUAGAGAAGGAGAGAUGACAGGCGCUGUGUUUUGAGAGAGAUUGGAUGGAGGGAGAAGAGAUGAUGACGGAGGGGUCCACGGGCUCGGUGAAGGCGGAUAGCAGCCGGUGAAUACGGAGCCGAAGGCUGUCCGGUUCGGCAGCAGCUGCCGCGACUCACGGCGGCGCUGCGAUGCGAGAGAACGGAGCUAUCGGUUGUUCUUUCAAGGUGAUUCCUUGCAAGCGAGACGUGACAUCAAGGGAAAUGAAAUAAUUUCGAAUUAAAAACUUGAGGUUGAGCGGUGACGAGCGCGGUGGGUGUUGAGCAUGAAAGUGAAGAAGAUAGUAAAUAAAA